GAUAAACUACUGUUUAAACUAACAAGUGGAGAUUUUAUAUUAAAACAGUAUCGUGAAUUAUCAUGUCGGUGAUGAAUUAAUAGGGUUUAAGUUAGAAUUAGUCUUUACCAAUACAAACACGUCCUGAUUAAUAAUGGAAAUUAAUACAAUAUAACUGUUGAAAUUGAUUGAUGAGAGAACAUCUGUAUCAUAGACAAUAGUGUAGGUAUUGUUUACUCCUAAGUUAUAUACAUGUAGACAAUAGUGUAGGUAUUGUUUACUAAGUUAUAGACAAUAGUGUAGGUAUUGUUUACUCCUAAGUUAUAUAGAUAAUGGAGCGACUGUUCGAGGUCACCUAAAGUACUCGCGUGUUUUUCUCCACGGUUGAUUACUAUUACAGUUCAUUGCUCUGAGUGUAAGGGGGUAAACUCGAUCACGUGGCGGACCCAAGGCCACAGAGCACGCGGUCGUCUCUCGCGCCUGGACUUGUGAGGGCUGUUUUUAUGGUUUUCAGUGUAACGGUUUAUUUGUAAUUAACGUAAGAUACUGAGAUUUAUCUUAAAAUGUACAGAACCUACAGAAUGUAUAUACCUAUAGGUGUUACGCCCAAUCAGUACAAGUAUGUAAACAAGGUACAACUAUAUUACCAAGCAUGUAGAUUUAGUUAUCAACAGUUUUAUUGCUAAGAUUGAUUUAGAUUAAUUUUACUCAAUAUAGAACUGCUAUUACAGCUAACAUCAUUUGUCACAUACUUAUACGAUAAAGGUAGGCCUACAUGUUUUAUACCUUCUAAAAAGCAUGUUACAUGAGCAGAUCAGAUUGUUUGUCACCCAAGUUUUGUCAUUUGAGAACGGCUGUAAUUAUUUAUCGUAAAUCUUCCCACGUGUUGAAUUUGUCCUGAAAACAUGAUUUACGUUUUGCUAGUUUAAUUUUGACAAUUAAUCUUGUUGUGAAUGGAAUGAAUAUAUUUAAAAGACUUUGGGUCAAGAAUGAAAAAGUAACACAAAUAUCCCAAUAAUGGCAAGCAGUAAACCAGAGCAGAGAUCUAGAUCUCUGACCAGGGGGAUAAAAUUGAAGAUAUUGAAAAACAAAACAAAAACCAAUAAGAUGUACGUUUGUUAUACAAGUUAUAUAAUAUACAUGUAUACUCACAUCUGGACUGCGGCAAAUCAGGUCUGUGAUCUCUGCUUCUGUUUGUUGUUGACCAGUUUCUGGACGGCCUUUCGGGUGUGUCCGGUGGGGUCGUGUACGUUCGUAUGGAGACUGGCCUCUCGCUUACUCCGGCCCUUACCGCUAUGACUAUAAUGGAUGUACUUGUGUUGUUCAACACUAUACAUGUCAAUAUCGUCCAAGUAAUUAGCUACAAAAUAGUCAGACAUUUCGACCACGAACUUU